UACGCAGGGGGCUAGCGUUGUUCGGAAUCACUGGGCGUAAAGCGCACGUAGGCGGCUUGUUAAGUCAGAGGAGAAAGCCUGGAGCUCAAAUCCAGAACUGCCUUUGAUACUGGCAAGCUCGUGGAUGGCAGAGGUUGGUGGAACUCCGAGUGUAGAGGUGAAAUUCGUAGAUAUUCGGUAGAACACCAGUGGCGAAGGCGGCCAACUGGGUCAUUACUGACGCUGAGGUGCGAAAGCGGGGGGAGCAAACAGG
rnacentral:rRNA from 1 species